rnacentral:lncRNA from 1 species
CCCACUUGUCCAAGUUUACCUAUUUGUUCACCAUCCUCACCAUGUUCACCAACAUCAUUUUGCAACUCAAGAAUAUAAUCAGGAUCAGACACUAUGUGAACCACAAACAAAUGAGCUGACCUAUUCCAUAACGCAAUGCUCACCACAUGCAUUGCUCCCUUAUCAUCACUUAACAACUUCAACCUUUCUUCUAAUACACGACCGC